AUACGGAGGGUGCAAGCGUUAAUCGGAAUUACUGGGCGUAAAGCGCGCGUAGGCGGAUAUUUAAGUCUCAUGUGAAAGCCCUGGGCUCAACCUGGGAACUGCAUGGGAUACAGGGUAUCUAGAAUACAGUAGAGGGUAGUGGAAUUUCAGGUGUAGCGGUGAAAUGCGUAGAGAUCUGAAGGAACAUCAGUGGCGAAGGCGACUACCUGGACUGAUAUUGACGCUGAGGUGCGAAAGCGUGGGGAGCAAACGGGAUUAGAAACCCUAGUAGUCC
rnacentral:rRNA from 1 species